CGCACCUUGCGCUCCUUGGUAUUCCGAGGAGCAUGCCUGUUUGAGUGUCAUGAAUAUCUCAACCUUUUCAGUUUUUAUUAACUGGUAUGGCUUGGAUUGUGGGAGUUGCUGGCUUUACCAAAGUUUGCUCUCCUUAAAUGUAUUAGCAAAAUUGUUGCUGACCAUCUUUGGUGUGAUAAUUAUCUACGCCAUGGGCAAUCGGCAUAUGCUUCUAACAGUCCUGAAGGACAAUUCUUGACAUUUGACCUCAAAUCAGGUAGGAUUACCCGCUGAACUUAA
rnacentral:misc_RNA from 1 species